GAACACAGACCAACUAGAACACCUUCAGGAGAGAGGGCAACCAGGAGAGAUAGUUAAUAAAUGCCUCCUGUGUCAGGGACUAGCUUUCUGGUGGGGAUUGGUGGUGAAAAGGCAGAAGCAUCUCUUCCCUCAUGGAGCCUGCAGUCCCUGGGAGGAAGAGGAGGCAUGAAGUAGACAGCCACACAAGGAUAGAAGCUGACACAGGAGCAGGGACGUGG
rnacentral:lncRNA from 10 species